GACGAACGCUGGCGGCGUGCUUAACACAUGCAAGUCGAGCGGAAAGACCAGGAUUUUGUUCCUUUGUCGUGAGCCGCGGACGGGUGAGUAACACGUGGAUCACCUACUUAUAAGUCUGGGAUAACUUCGGAAAACGGGAGCUUAUACCGGAUAAUAUAUUGAACCGCAGGGUGGAAUAGUAAAUGACGGUUGUGGUGGUACUUCUAGAUGGUUACCCGCCGCAUUAGCUAGUUGUUGAGGUAACAGCCUACCAAGGCAACGAUGCGUAGGCGACCUGAGAGGGUGAUCGGCCACACUGGAACUGGGACACGGUCCAGACUCCUACGGGAGGCAGCAGUAGGGUAUCUGCCGCAGUGGGCGAAAGCCUGGCGGAGCGACGCCGCGUGAGUGAUGAAGGUCUUCGGAGCGUAAUACUCUGUUAUUAGGGAAGAACAGAUGUGUAAGUAACUAUGCACGUCUUGACGGUACCUGAUCAGAAAGCCCCGGCUAACUACGUG
rnacentral:rRNA from 1 species